GAUGGCGACCGGCGGAUGGGUGGGUAACGCGUAUCCAACCUGCCCCCUUCCCGGGCACAGCCCUUGGAAACGAGGAUUAACUCCCGAUGGUGUCAGUCAGGCGCAUGCCUUUCUGACCAAAUGUUUAAGGAAGGGGAUGGGGAUGCGUCCCAUUAGCUUGUUGGCGGGGUAACGGCCCACCAAGGCUCCGAUGGGUAGGGGUUCUGAGAGGAAGGUCCCCCACACUGGAACUGAGACACGGUCCAGACUCCUACGGGAGGCAGCAGUGAGGAAUAUUGGUCAAUGGAGGCAACUCUGAACCAGCCAAGUAGCGUGAGGGAUGACUGCCCUACGGGUUGUAAACCUCUUUUGUCGGGGAAUAAACCGCAUCACGUGUGAUGCUCUGCAUGUACCCGCAGAAUAAGGACCGGCUAAUUCCGUGCCAGCAGCCGCGGUAAUACGGAAGGUCCGAGCGUUAUCCGGAUUUAUUGGGUUUAAAGGGAGCGUAGGCGGGCUGUUAAGCCAGCCGUCAAAUUGCGGGGCUCAACCCCGUAUCGCGGUUGGAACUGGCGGCCUUGAGUGGGCAAGAGGCGCGUGGAAUUCGUGGUGUAGCGGUGAAAUGCAUAGAUAUCACGAGGAACUCCGAUUGCGAAGGCAGCGCGCUGGGGCCUUACUGACGCUGAUGCUCGAAGGCGCGGGUAUCAAACAGGAUUAGAUACCC
rnacentral:rRNA from 1 species